GUGAAAUUGUUGAAAGGGAAGCGCUUGCAAUCAGACUUGCGUGCGGUUGAUCAUCCGGGCUUCUGCCCGGUGCACUCGAUCGUACUCAGGCCAGCAUCGGUUUGGGCGGUUGGAUAAAGGCCUUGGGAAUGUGGCUCCUCUCGGGGAGUGUUAUAGCCCUCGGUGCAAUGCAGCCUGUCCGGACCGAGGACCGCGCUUCGGCUAGGAUGCUGGCGUAAUGGUUGUAAGCGACCCGUCUUGAAACACGGACCAAGGAGUCUAACAUCUAUGCGAGUGUUUGGGUGUCAAACCCAUGCGCGUAAUGAAAGUGAACGGAGGUGGGAACCCUGAAGGGUGCAUCAUCGACCGAUCCUGAUGUCUUCGGAUGGAUUUGAGUAAGAGCAUAGCUGUUGGGACCCGAAAGAUGGUGAACUAUGCCUGAAUAGGGUGAAGCCAGAGGAAACUCUGGUGGAGGCUCGCAGCGGUUCUGACGUGCAAAUCGAUCGUCAAAUUUGGGUAUAGGGGCGAAAGACUAAUCGAACCAUCCAAAAAAAAACACAAACACAACUUGUGCUGCUAGGUGGUUAAGAGGUGUUUAAAGCAACACCUAGUCCUGAAUAAAGGGCUACACUAUCAAAAUGUUCGGGGACGUCCUGUUAACUUCUAAACUACCGCAAUUAUCUCGAAAGAGUAACGCGCACCAGGUUAAUAACCUAGGGUAUGGUAAUAAUGUUUAGAUAGGGAUA
rnacentral:rRNA from 1 species